AGUGGACGUGGAUAGGUUCGCACGCCGGGUGCCGUAGCGGUAGCAGGCGAGUGUCCCGCGGAGGCGUAGUCAAUGAUCUCUGUUCAUGCACCCGCGUCACACGUGCACGUUAUAAUAAUUAUAUUCAAUACAUAUGUUAUUUACCCGCGACCCGCGUUCUGCGCACGCUCAUUUGCCUCACAUUCUUUUGAUUUAUACUAAGUCUUUAUAUCGGAGUUUUGGGGUUUAUUUUAUAAGUAUUUUAACUGAUGGAAUGUUAACAUAAAGUUUGUAACUAGAUCAUACAAAUUGGAUGUAGUCUUAUUAACUUGACUUAUUUAGUUCGUAUAUGGGGCGCAUCUGACGCGGCAUAGCAACAGCGUGUACUGUCCAUUGAGGUUCUGUGAUUUAACUCAUUAUUAUAUUAGUUCGUUGCAAACUGAUUAUUGUAAAUUUUGGGUUGUUGCAAUAAAAAAAAUUGUGUAUAAAAUUCCAUAUUUGCUAAGCAUCUGGAUGAGGUCAUGCCCCGUGUAUAUGUAUAUUUAGUCGUAGUAUGGUUUCAUCAUAACGCCUGUAUUUUAGUGCAUGGAUUAUGCUCCGUUUGGUAUAAUUAUUUUGACAAUAAUUUAUUAUCCUAUUCGACUUAUUACAAUGUACAAACACACUAGUGUGGGUUGAUUAUGGUCUUAUGUUUGAUUAUAUUAUUUUUGUAUGUCGUAAGUUUUGGUUGCACUGCCGCGGCGGCUCGUGCGUGCCGAGCGUGAUGUGCGUGCCGUGCGCGCCGUGCGUGCCGUGCGUGCCGCGCGUCCGCCGCGGCAUCUCCUCUGUGAUCGCCUCGUGUAGCGUUAGCGGUGAAACUGUAUCCUAGGAUUACGUUUGAUUUUAAUAAUUUCAUAUAACAACUGUGAGUACCUCAGGGUACGAGCCGAGAGCUAACUCUGUACAAUUAUGGGUAUUUUUACGUUUUAAUUUAGCGUUAGGGGCUUGUUCAACACGAGUUGAAAUGUUUUAACAUGUUUUGAAUUCGAUAAUGGGAAAUCAGGGAAUCAGUACUGAUGUUGCUUAAUUUUAUCUUCAAUAAUCACAUAGUUAUUAUAGAGCAAAUGUAAAUAAACAUCCAGAUAUCCCUUUU